rnacentral:sRNA from 1 species
AAUUUUAACUUACUAGCCUGAGCAAUCAGGCGAGGGCUGGCGGUUUUUUAACCGUCGGCCU